rnacentral:ncRNA from 2 species
GCCAUCUCAACGGGGUGCGGCUGUAAUGAAACAGUUUUGCUGAGAACAAACCCGUCGAACCUGAACCGGUUAGUACCGGCGUAGGGAUUUGAGACGCUAAUCGUU